ACGACGAUACCAUGCUGAAUAUACCGGUUCUCGUUAGAUCACCGAAGUCAAGCAUCAUUGGGCGGGUGACCACCUGGGAACACCGCGUGCCGUU